rnacentral:lncRNA from 1 species
GGGCAUGCGCCUUGGCCAGGGUCAUCAGCGAGGCCUUUCCCCCCUCUCUGCCCGCUGACUCCGGGUGUGGUGCCCGCUGAGCUUGGGGUCGCUUGGGGAGGACCCCCACGUGACCCAGAGAGCCUUUCUUCAGGGGCCCUGAAUGCCGAGAAAGAGCCCGCCGGGUGGAGACUGCGCGUGCGUGUGCGUGCGUGCAGCCCACGUCUAACGCUCGUGCUCUGUCCUCAGAUUCCGCGUGCAGCAGCGCGCCCGGCUCCGGGCCCAGCUCCCCCAACAACAGCUCCAACAACGUCAGCGCCGAGAACGGCAUCGCCGGCUCCGUGGCCGGCAUCCAGGCGGAGGUGGGUGUCUGCCCCCGGCUGGGGAGGGGGCUCCCGCCCGUGGGCACGUGGGCGGGCAGGGCUGGUCCUCGGGGUCCUUUGGGGCCGGGCCGAGACGCCUCCCUGGGCGCUCUUACGGACCGUGGCGCGCCGCACUUCAGGGAAUCGGCUUCCCUCUCGCCAUGGGGAAUGGCAUUCUGGGAAGAGGCCCGCAGGCCCGGCUUGGAGGAAGGAAGGGGGGAAUGGGAAGAGGAGCACCAGGAAAAGGAGAGGCAGAGCCCUCCGGGCCUCCAGUCAGGCCUUUUGCAGGCACUCCCCAAAGGGCUGUCCUGGGGCCUCCCUCCAUGUCCUUGUGAGGGUCCGCCCACGCCUCAGGCUCCAUCCAUUGAUGCAUCCCUUAUGGGCUAGAUGACCCCUAGCCGCGCCCUUAGCUGUUCUCAUCUGUAAAAUGGGGCUCACCACAGAGCCUCCCUCACCAGGGAUGGUCGAUGCUGAAGGGCUUUGGGGUCCCUGCUGCACUGGGGGCAGAGGAGAGCAGGCCCAACCCGCGUCCUUUGGGGACCUGAGUGCGGCUUUCUGGGACAGCUGCAGGUUUGGUCCUCGACAAGGAGUGGUCACGUGGUCGGCUCGUGGGCGGGCUCUAGUUCCUCCCUCUGUCUGCUGCCUGAUUGUUGUCUCGUUUUCAGACCAACCUGGCCCAUCGACUGGUGACCCGCGAAGGCUCCGUGACGCAGCUGCCCCUUUACACGUCGCCUUCCCUGCCCAACAUCACGCUCGGCCUGCCUGCCACCGGCCCCGCCAGCGGGACGUCCGCACAGCAGGACGCCGAGAGACUCGCCAUCCCGGCCCUCCAGCAGCGCAUCUCCCUCUUUCCCAGCACCCACCUCACUCCCUACUUGAGCACUACGGCCGCAGCACUGGACAGGGACGGAAGUAGCACCCACAACCCCCUUCUGCAGCACAUGGUCCUCCUAGAGCAGCCGGCCGCCCAAACACCCUUAGUCACAGGUGCGUGGGAUGCUGUCCUCCACUGAGGUCAGGGGCCCAAGUCCCGUCUUGGAGCCCCACGGAGGACGGUUUUCUAUCUUGGCACCCCAGGCGG